UUUUGGUUCAUGUCCAGCCACAGUAAAUUAAGUUAGCCAGCUAGUUCUCAUGUGAUAAUGGUGUUUUUUCAUUAUGUGCCUGCAGUUACUUUGGUUGUGGAAUCUGCAAGAAUAGCCUGAUUUUGGACGGCGAAAGUCUUGAGAUUGCCUUGUUGCUGAAACGUUAAGAUGGGCAAACCACAGAAUGACCACCCAGCAGAUCACAAGAUAAGCGACUCUAGGAAGAACUCUGAACAGCAGCCAAUCACAGCCUGUCUGUUGAGCGCAGCCUUCUUUGGUGCCCUGGGGUCGUCUUUCAUUUACGGCUACAACCUCUCCGUGGUCAACGCUCCUGCUUUGUUCAUUAAAGCUUUCUACAAUACCACAUGGAUUGAGAGAUAUGGGGAGCCUCUUGCAGCAGAGACAGCCACCCUCCUCUGGUCCGUCACGGUGUCCAUAUUUGCUAUCGGUGGCCUUCUUGGAGCGCUCGCCGUCUCUAUAAUCCUCAAAGUACUGGGAAGAAAGGGAACCUUGCUGCUGAAUAACAUCUUUGCUGUAAUAGCUGCUCUGCUGCUGACUCUGGGUGAAAGGGCCAAAUCUUUUGAGAUGCUUAUCAUUGGCCGGCUCAUAAUCGGGGUAAACUCUGGCAUAGCUCUCAGUGCCCUCCCAAUGUACCUUGGAGAGAUUACGCCAAGACAUAUCCGAGGUUCAAUAGGCCAGUUCAACUCCAUCCUGAUCUGCUUGGGAGUGUUCAUGGGACAAGUGCUGGGACUACCCGAGCUGCUGGGUCAGGAAUCCAGGUGGAGCUACCUGUUUUCCUUCCUGGCGUUGCCGGCAAUACUGCAGCUGUGUGUGCUGCCCUUCCUCCCUGAGAGUCCUCGCUACCUGCUGAUAGAGAGGAGGGAUGAGGCUGGAGCUGAAAGAGCCUUUCAGAGGUUUUUGGGAAAGAAAGAUGUGUCCCAGGAGCUGGAGGAGGUUCAUGCGGAGGCUCGGGCUCAGGAGAACCUGCACACCGCCUCUGUGUUACAGCUGCUGAGGAGCCCAGGUGUUCGCUGGCAGCUCAUUACCAUCAUCAUAACCAUGGCCUGCUAUCAGCUCUGUGGCCUCAAUGCUAUCUGGUACUACACCAAUGGGAUACUUCGGGAAGCAGGCUUUGCCGAAAACAUUAUCCCCUACAUCACACUGAGCACUGGGGCCAUAGAGACUUUGGCUGCCAUCAUCUCGGGCUUAGUGAUUGAACGAAUUGGGAGGAGGCCCCUCCUCAUCUUUGGGUUCUCUGCCAUGGCCGUAUUCUUCAGCCUACUCACAGUGUUCCUCAAUUUCCAGGAGAGGCUGUCAUGGAUGCCCUACUUCAGUUACAUCUCUAUACUGGCUGUGAUAGCGUCCUUUUGCUCUGGGCCAGGUGGCAUCCCCUUUGUUCUGACCGGGGAACUGUUUGAACAAUCCUUCCGACCUGCCGCCUUCAUGAUUGCUGGCACAGUUAACUGGCUGUCCAACUUUGCUGUGGGCCUCCUGUUCCCAUUUAUUCAAGAGACGUUGCAGUCCUUUGCCUUCCUGGUGUUUGUGGUGGUCUGCGUCUUGGGAGCUAUCUACCUCUUUGUCGUCCUACCUGAGACCAAAAAUAAAACAUUUAUGGACAUCAGUAAGAGCUUUGCCAAGAUCAACAAAAUCCCUGCCCCUUCUCCCAGCAAUGAAAUGGAGCUGGUUCUGUCCAGUAAGCCUGACAUGAAUGGAAGAGUCCAAGAUAUUGCUAAGAUGGAGAGUUCCUUCUAGCUGAACAAACUACACUAAUGGUGGAGAAGCAGGGUUGAAACAUAAAGUGAAAGUAUUUGUUGUUUGUACAUAUUUAAUACCUGUGGUCAGUUACAUGAAAACCAAUGAUUUUGGUUAAAUGUAUUUUGGACACAGAUGCAAACAUGUGUCAUGUGAUGAUAAAGGGGUGUCCAUGUAUUCAAAUGGCAUUGUUGAAGAGAGGUGGGGAAAUGCCAUGUCCUGAGUUUCAGUUUAAUUCCUGUCCUGAUCAUAUCUGGUGAGCUAGAGUGCCACAGAUUGCAUUUGUCCAACUGGAAAGCAGGCAGGGAAGUGAGGAGAAUAAUAAUUGGAAGUGUCUCUCAUAACUCUGUUUCAGCAUGUUACUCUUGAGGUGUUAUACUUUCAGCAGCGUUAGUGGGUAAUUGGCAGAAUCAUGCUGGUGAUUGCUGGUGGGAGAGUAAUUAUGAGAUCAUAGCAGCAAAGACUACUACAUGUUUAAUUAGAUGCACUCUAGGGUACUGCUGUGUGUGAUAACAUAUUGUUUGUCCAAACUCUUCGAUAUCCUCUCAAGAAAUGUUAAAUCAGCUUCCCAUUAUGCAAAGUAAGAAGUGGGCACAGCAAGAGGAGCUGUGUAUCCUGCUUCCAUUAGCUCUGAGGAGCGCUCAGUUGAAAAAUAUAUGUUUGCAAUCUUUCCAAAAUUUAGUUUUGAGUAAUAGCAUUUUUUUUUUUUAUCUGGUAUCAGAAUACACCAAGGUAAACUAUUCCUUUAAA